rnacentral:sRNA from 1 species
CGUAUUGCUAAGGUCAUGCCAACGGAA